rnacentral:lncRNA from 1 species
UCUCACAUGCUAUCAUCCCUUGAACUUAAUCUUAGUCCAAAUCCUUGGUUAACCCCCUUAAGACCUCUCAAGCCAGGCUUUAAGAUCUCUAAGAUCAAACCCGACCCUAGCCCCAAAUAGAAAACCUAUACAGUUCUACUCACGUAACUGCGUUGGCUCAGUCUCAGAUUGAGCUGGCUCAAUUACUGUGAUUGGGCUAGCUCAGUCUGAAACUGAGUCAGCUCAGUUUGCGUGCCAACCUCAGAUUUUCAAAAUCUGCUUUUUUGUUUGACCCUUCCUCUGAGACAUGAUCGAUCUAGUCUCGGUCUGAGUCGAUCCAGAUCUUUGAAACUGCUUCUUCUCUAUAGUCUUCAGUCUUCUCUGAUUCUUUACUCCACUUUGUGUCUCCAGGUCUGCUGCUGCAGUAACCAAUCCUCUCAAGAUUCUUAACAUCUAGACCUCAAGCCUGUGGAUGCCUCCACCCUAGGACCACUCCUAUCCUAGCCCUAAGACCCACCUAUCCUAGUCUCCCAGAGC